AGAACUCUGGGCUCUGUCCUGAAUGCCUCCUCUUCUCCUGCUCUCAAAGCUCAAGUCAGGAGCAGGAGCCUUGAGGAAGAGGGAAAGAGAAGAUCCUGAGGUAACGCAUCUGGGCCUGUGCCCAGACAGAUGGUCUUCCCACGCAUGGCCUCCCUGUCUCCUUCUGUCUCACAGCACCGACACAGGCACCCACCGGAGCCCACACAGCGCUGUCCCCUGCUCCCAUCUCAGACACAGGGCCAAGUCACUGCCCGUUACAGUCUCAGUCUUUUGGGGGAAUAACGUUUCAUAAAUCCUGCUGUUUUCUUGUCAGAGUCUCAA
rnacentral:lncRNA from 1 species